UGAACAAGCACGAAACCAAAGAGAAAAACAGAAAAUCUAAAAAAACAAAGAACAAAAACAGAAGCAAGGGAGCGAAGAAUUUGAUCAUCGCCACAGAAUUGUAUUUUGGAUGAUGACGAACAUUUUGUUG
rnacentral:ribozyme from 1 species